AGCAGACCAGGACAAGGAGAGUAGGAAGAAGGUGAGUAUUUAUUUACAAGUGAAUGUGAAUGGGUAGAUAUAUCGAGGUGGCGUAGCGGGCAGCGGUGGUGAGUUGAUGGGAGUAAAUAGGUGGAUCCAAUGGGGAAGCGGAAUCCUCCGACGACCAGGCGGGAAUGGGGUAAAUGAUCCGGGUGAGUAACUGAAGACAGAACAAACGGAGGGAAUGGAUGUCAGGUCCGGGCUUAUGAAGAGGAGAGAUGAUGAUCAGGACCAGGUGUGCAGAUAGCUGAUGGGAUACAGGUGCGGGUAAUCAGAACUCCCAACUGGCUACAUUGCCCGGCAACCAGACAGGGUGCGUUCCAGGACGCCGGAAAAAACACUCCAGGACAGAACACAGGCAAAAAAACAGACUCAGGAAACGGGAUUCGUGACACUCACGUUGACUGCCUCGCAUAACGUGAAUCCAUAGGCAGCGCAUUGUGAUGAUCCAUCCUCCAUUGGAUAACAUCGAGGUGGUAUAGAAGGAAUGCAACAUAUGUAUAGUUCAGAAAUAGAACUCAAAAACUACAAACUCCUAAUGGUACAUAGGAGUUCUACUAUUAUUAAUGUCAAUAAAAGAAUAUGCUAGAAUAUGCUAAGCUUUGUGUCCCUACUGGAAAGUUACACAAUCUGUGUGUAUACAAAUUUGAGCACUGAUGUCAUCAACAUUCAAAAGCCUGUAUCAUUCCUAUCAUGUACCUACUGCUCUAGUAAAGUCACACAGUGGAGGUAAAAGUCUGUCAACAUCAAAUGCCAGAUCUAAUACUACUGACGAGUGAGUGUACUUGGGACUAUAAAUGACUGUCUAGGGUCCAUGUGAGAUGGAAAUAGAUAUUUGUUGUUAUUAUUGGAAUGACCUGCAUAAGUGGUAAAUAUUUUGGUAAAAGUAUUGUUUUUAUGUAUAUUCAUGCAGCUUAAAAUCAUUGUUCAACCGAGCAUCUAAAACAUUGUCCAACAGAGUGCGCUUCUAAAAUGCUUACGUCCAUUUUCAACAAAAAUAAUAAAUACAAAACCAAGAGAUAUUGCCAUACCGGUUAUUCAUUUCAUGGUUUAAACCUCAGGGCCCAAAGUUACUGUAGUUUCAUUAAAAUAAUUUCACGUUCCAUUUAGAACAGCUGUUCUUUAGGAAGGGUAAAACAGCCACUUAUUGGACUGCUGCAAAGCCACAUUGGCAUGUUGUACAUACAGUGCAUUCAGAAAGUAUUCAGACCCCUUCACUUUUUCCAAAUUAUGUCACGUUAAAGCCUUAUUAUCCUUAUACAUCUACACACAAUACCCCAUAAUGACAAAACAGGUUGUUUGACAUUUUUGCAAAUUUAUACAAAAGAAAAUGCAUCCUGUUUCCAUUGAUCAUCCUUGAGAUAUUUCUACAACCUGGGAGUCCACCUGUGGUAAAUUCAAUUGAUUGGACAUGAUUUGGAAAGGCACAUACCGGUCAAUAUAAAAGGUCCCACAGAUGAUGGUGCAUGUCAGAACAAAAACCAAGCCAUGAGGUCGAAGGAAUUGUCUGCAGAGCUCCGAGACUGGAUUGUGUCAAGGCACAGAUCUGGGGAAGGGUACCAAAUAAUGUCUGCAGCAUUGAAGGUCCCCAAGAACACAGUGGCCUCCAUCAUUCUUAAAUGGAAAAAGGAAAAAGUUUGGAACCCCCAAGACUCUUCCUAGAACUGUCCGUCCAGUCAAACUGAGCAAUCUGGGGAGAAGGGCCUUGGUCAGGGAGGUGACCAAUAACCCGAUGGUCACUGGCAGAGCUCCAGAUUCCUCUGUGGAGAUGGGAGAACCUUCCAGAAGAACAACCAUCUCUGCAGAAUUCCACCAAUAAGGCCUUUGUGGUAGAGUGGCCAGACAGAAACCACUCCUCAGUAAAAGGCACAUGGGAGCCCGCAUGGAGUAUACCAAAAGGCCCCUAAAAUGCAGGAGUGGCUUUGGGACAAGUCUCCGAAUGUAAUUGAGUUGCCUAGCCAGAGCCCGGACUUGAACCUGAUAGAACAUCUCUAGAGACCUGAAAAUAGCUGUGUAGCGAUGCUCCCCAUCCAACCUGAUAGAGCUUGAGAGGAUCUGCAGUGAAGGAUGGGAGAAACUCCCCCAAAACAUGUGCCAAGCUUGUAGCGUCAUACCCAAGAAUCAAGGCUGUAAUUACUGUCAAAGGUGCUUCAACAAAGUACCUAGUAAAGGGUCUGAAUACCGAGUUUUUUUUUUUUUAAAUAAGGUUUAAAUAUUUUUUAUAUAAAACUGGUUUUGCUUUGACAAUAUGGGGUAUUACGUGUAGAUUGACGGGGGGGGGGACAAUGUAAUCCCUUUUAGAAUAAGGCUGUAACAAAAUGUGGAAAAAGUUAAGGGGUCUGAAUACUUCUUGAAUACACUGCAGUAGAGGCAAUUUAUCACUAUUCCUUCAUCUGACCAUAACCAAGCACACUCGGUAUGUAUAUGAGCUUGCACUGUUCCUUUAGCACCAAAUUCCAUUGGCUUUUCAAGUGAGAGAUUACCAUGUUAUAAUGCAAUGACUAAAUGCUAUUAAAAGUAAGACAUGGACAAGAGAACUGUGUAAAGGAGUACUUAGAUUUCGUGGCUAUUGUGGUACAACUGUACUGUAGUUCCAUAUUAAAAGGUGAAAUCCAUGCUUUUAAUGGCACUGUUUCUGCAUUUCAUUUGAGAGACAGCCUACUAUAUUUCAGGAG
ensembl:lncRNA